AUCCAUGUCCUCAACCUACUGAACCUAUGGCCCAUCUCCUCCUCCUCCUCCUCUUCCUCUCUCUCUCUCUCUCUCUCCUCCCUCUCCUCUCUCUCUCCGCCACAGACACCUUCAUCUACGGCGGCUGCACCCAACUCCGAUACUCCCCAAACUCCGGCUACGAGUCAAACCUCAACUCCUUACUCACCUCCCUCGUCAACUCCGCCACCUACACCUCCUACAACAACUACACCUUCCAAGCCUCCACCCCACAGGACGCCCUCUACGGUCUCUACCAGUGCCGCGCGGAUCUCUCCAUGCCCGACUGCGCCACUUGCAUCGCCCGCGCCGUAACUCAAUUAGGCGCUCUCUGUUCCGACACGUGCGGUGGCGCCCUCCAGCUCGAGGGCUGCUACGUCAAGUACGACAACUCCACGUUCCUCGGUGUCGAGGACAAGACGGUUGUGCUCAAGAAAUGCGGACCGUCUGUCGGGUACGAGGUGGAAGCCAUGGCGCGAAGGGAUGCUGUGCUGGCAGCGAUUGUGGGGUCCAGUGGGGCUUAUAGAGUAGGUGGGUCCGGGAAAGUGCAAGGCGUGGCGCAAUGCGUGGGGGAUUUGAGUGGGAGCGAGUGUCAGGAUUGUGUCGGGGAGGCGAUCGGACGGUUGAAAAGCGAUUGCGGGACGGCGGAUUUUGGGGACAUGUUCUUGGGGAAGUGUUAUGCGCGAUACAAUACUCAUGGGCCUCCCGUGUUCUCUAAGGCCCAUCAUGGUAAGCCAUUCUUCACAACUACCACUACUGCAAUUUCAUUGAUAAAUUUAGUGGUGAUGGUGAGAAGACAUUUGCGAUUAUAAUUGGGCUUCUAGCUGGAGUUGCUCUUCUCAUUAUUUUUCUUAUUUUUAUAAGAAAAAUAUUUCAAGGAUCUGGUAAAUAACGGUAAAGUAUGGAAUGGAUGGAAGGAUAAUGGGUUGUUUUUUAUUUUUAAUUUUAUUUUCUAUUUUUCAAGAGAGUUUGUGUAUUAUUUACUUCUUCUCUAUUCUGGAAUCUGUCGCACACAAUUUUUAAAUUUUUUUCUUUUUUUUUUCUCUCUAAAAUAAUAAUAUUACUCUACUUACUUUUCCUAUU